AAAACUGCAGUGCAGUAGUUUUGGUGACAUCUUUGAUCUGGCAAAAGAAUGUAAAUGGGACAAUCUGAAAGAAGCACGGGACCUCCUUUUUGCAAACUCCGAUCAUUACAACUUUUUUGAUUUGAAGCGUCUUGUGUGCAUACACCUGGCGCUCUCCUCAGCUGGGGAGCAAGUAAUGUCAGCUGACGAGGUAUAUCAGCAGUUUGUUCGGCCGUUGAAUACUCUGGAUCAUAGUAAAACUGACUGCUGGUCACCUUUCUUCAUGAUGAUGUUUCUGUGGCCAAUACCUGAUACCAUCUCUGAAAGACGGGACAGGGACGAUUUAACAGCACACAUAGAUAGAUUACAGCAACGAUGGAUCGGUCGGCUGAAGCACUGGGGCCAACAGUCGUCACGCGAAGACAAGUUUAGUUGUCACGCACGUUUUCAUGUGAAACCAAGAACCCAUUUCUUUUUGGGUCACGGUAAAGAUCUCAAGAGUUUCGUUCACAUCCACGAAAUCCUUGCGACUCAAAAAAGGCUUGAACAUGGCAAUUUCUGGCAGUCAAAAGUUGUAAAGAAAUUACUAUUCCGCUUGGAAGGGACUCUUUUCAGUAAUACCACUCUGUUUCAUCGUUCCUCGAAGGGCAAGAAGAUAAAUGUGAAGUUAGCAUAUCCGUACUUGAAACACACUCCCAGUCAAGAAAUUGUGACUUUCUACCUGGGAUUCAGCUGGAAUGGGCCAGUUGCAUACAAUGUAAUACCAAAGGGUAAAGAGUCUUGUCACGAUACAGUUCAGCGGAACUUUAAUCAGGCGUACCCAGAGCAUAUUUUGCCAAUCAACAAAACAAGGGUGUCCCCAUCAGAUGGCAUGUCGGAGUUCGAGCGGAUGAUGGAACCACUUGAACUGGAGAGAGAACUUUGAAAGCUAAGAGCUUUGAUACAAGAGUGCAGCCCGUCAGAACACCGCAAGAAGAGAAAACUGAAGGUCAAACUAGAGGAGAAAACAGCCCAAUUUAUCUCUGCUUGGCAGGAAGAUGAUGAAGGACUGUAAGCAGUAUUGUGUCCAUUCAAGCAGGUCAUCACAGAGCCACUUUACUUGAGAAGACAGAAAGUCCGGAAAGACUCUCUUGGGGUAGCCUACUGAAAUGAGACAGAUAUCUUUCAAGUUUUGUGGAUAUUUACAGUAGCUAUCCACACGUAAUACACUUUAAUAAAAGUAAUGCUUGAGGCAUAAAAUAAAGGUCAAUUUCAAACAUCAGUCAGUGCAUGCCUGUGAGAAUUAUGCACAUGGGCUUACGCACCAUUUUUAAAGGGCAGGUAGAACCAUUUAGCUUGCCUAUAAAUAUAUUGCGCCAUUAGCGUAUUUGGCCUAUUAAGUUUUCCAUUUUUUGGCCAUUCGAAGAAUACGGUAGCAAGAGAACCUGUCAACGUUCCCAAACUGCCAUGAAAUUUCUUUGAAACUUCAGUACUUUCCAAAAUGUAUGCAGUUUUCUGUAAAACGCCUACACAGUACGUUUCUAGUUUAAUUUGCUCUUAAAGUCAUUACCAUCUUCUGUGGUAAUAAAGCACAACGAAGUUGAUGUUAGAGCAGAACAUUCAGCAAUUUUCGAAUUCAUUAGUGCAAGGUGUUCAUUACACUGGUGGUGCCUACAUCUAGUAUUGGCUGAUGCAUGUUCAUUACAGGGAGACUUCCACGCCACCAUGACUAAACACAUAACUUCAAAUUUUAGGCUGGAUAUGUGAGAGGAGGUAAGAAUGAUUUACUCGAAUUUAUCACUUUUAAAAAACUUCUGGAACGUUUUGUGAGAUUUUCUUAGAUUUCUUCAAGGGUGCCAGGCUAGGGGACCCUCAGAUGCAUUGUUUGACUUUCGGACGAAAUUCCAUGACUCUGAAAUCGUUCACAAAGGUUCAAAAGCCUGUAUCGCGCACAGACUACUAUGCUGAUCGGCUGUCGCGCACCCAGGGUUAGUCGAUCUUGGGCACAGACACACAAACCCACAGAUGGACAGCUCCCAUUCAAAACAACGGAGGGAUUCUGUAGCCGAGACGGCCCCAACUAAAUCAAAAGCGUGGGUAAAUUCAUCUCUCGGUGUAGGGAAUUUACACAAAGUUGAAGAAUUCCAGCCAUAAAUUUCUAUGAAACCAUUUUUCGAUUAUGAAAAAAAUCCUCUAUUUACUUAAUCUGGCCCAUACACAUUCAAAACAAUGCGGUUACAACAUUUGUAAAGAAGCAAAUAGCCGUACCAAAGAUAAAAAAGUGAACUUUUUUGAGAGCAUAAUGUAAAUAAUACGUGCUUUCCAGGUAGACCGUGGGCCAGAAAUUAUACCUUGCAGUUUCGUUGAGAGUUUGGAGUGGCAAAUUACUUUUUGCUGUAAUAAAUACCUUACAUACUAUGAAUCAAUAUUUUGUCUGUUGCCGUCCGGAUGUUUUGCUCUUUUGUGAAAAAUAAGGGUAUAAAAAUGCGAAAAUGCUCGUGUUUUGUUCGCCAUUUUUCAAUGUGUAAAUUGAGGGCGCUGUCUCCAGCCUCGAUCCUUUAUCAAUUUGAGCUCAUGAAAUACCACCUUUGCACCUGGGGACGAGUGCCACUCGAAGUGAAAAUGGCGCCGUCCGUUAGCAAACGGGCGUUUGCCGUGUUUACGAAGAACAGAAGAAAUUAUUGGUGACAAUAUGUGAAAUUUUGCGUGUAGUUGAAACAGUUUGAUGAAUAGUAAAGAGAGGUUGCUCUGAAAAAGGUAGAAAUAGCUUCUUGGCCUUCCAAACAUGCGAAAGUUCAAUACCAAACUUUGCAUACAAGGCGUUUGUCAGUCAUGUCAGUUUUAAAUUGUGCUUCUCCGUCGUGUCCUUGGGAUCGAGGUUUGUCUGUGUCAGUUAAAAUACUGACCAGAGUGAUGGUUCUGAUUUAAGAAGCAGGUGCAAUUUUAGGACAACAGACAUUAUUUCUGUAAUUCUUAUUUCUACCAAAAAAGUCAAGUUGAAUUUUUUUUCGGAGGACGGGAUUCCACAGCAUUUCCGUGCAAAUAAAGUCAUGACCCUUGAUAGUCAUUUUUCUAGUUGCAGAUCUUUCCUAAGUCUGGAUCGUUUGAAUUCAAACUGCAUUCUUCAGUUCGCAUUUCUAAGAAAGGUUCUAUUUGAAAGGUAAAAUAUAUUCUUUCUCAAACUUUCUGAACUAGGCCAGAUUUCUAGUUCACACUUCGACAUUUGAGUAUGUUAAAAUCACUGGAGCUAAAAAAUCGGCAACAAUUUGCAGGGCGAUAGGUCACUCACUAAGUGUGAUUCCAAUACAUUUUGUAUAAGACAGUUGUAGGCUAUACAUGUUUACAGCUAAUCAAAUGAAUUAGAAUUUUUGUCUUCAAAAUCGGCUGAAAAGUGAACACUUUUCUUCUGGAUCGCAUGCUAAGUGCACGCAAAUGCAGGUAGGCCUACGUUACAAACUCAACUAUACUAACCUAGCAAAAAUGUGACUGUGUGGGUUUGUCAGAGCACGGCGUGGGGAUGGUAUUGACAGCAUGCUGUACAGCUGAUAAAGUUGAGUGACAGUUUACUCAUGUUCUGCUUUUUAAUUUGUUGGAGUUAGCUAUGAAACUUUUAUUUAUGAACUAUUUUUCUCUCAGAAAUCCUCCAUUAGAAAAUCAGCUUGUUGCCAUGGCUGAAAUUUGGAUUUUCGUGCGGAAAGCUCAGAAUCAGAAAGUCAUUUUGCAGUAUCUCUUGCACACAAGGUGGACUACUGCCCACAUUUCACUGCAAUUUGAAGAUUUUUUGUAAAUGCAAUCUGACUGAAUAAUUUUUGCGAUCUGAAAUUAGGAAAAAGAAUAAACGUAUGAAUAAAUAUAAUUUAUUUCUGUAUGUAGCUUAUGCUUCUUGAUGGUCCGUCUGGAAGUUGUACAAGCCAUGUAGCCGUGGUUUUGGUCCAUUUCGCGUAGUUUGUUGUAUUGCGCAUUUCAGGGUACGUUGGCUAAUUUACCCGUAAAUCAUCUUGAUUUGUAUAUCACCGAUUUAAAUCGUAAUUUAAAUCAAGUUAUUUUUAAAUUGGUGAUUUUGAAUCAGCAUGUUUAAUUUAGGGAGGAAAAAAAUUCAAUUGUCUGCUGAGCUCAUUAAUAAAAGUUGUACACUCAACAAAUUCUAUAUUAGGGGUCCUGAGAGCCAUGGAACUUGGGACAAGUCUUGGAGCAAGGUUAAUGGGAGACUAGCAGUGCUACGGUCUUUGAUAUUAUUGUCGAAAAUAUGCAAUAAUUUACCACAAUAGCAACUUAUAGCAACAAUGUUUUAGUAUGGAGAAUUCGAAUUGUUAUGUUGACGUAAAUUAAAAGAACCCAGUGUUCCAGAUUUUAUU